rnacentral:rRNA from 1 species
GCAUAUCAAUAAGCGGAGGAAAAGAAACCAACAGGGAUUGCCUCAGUAGCGGCGAGUGAAGCGGCAAGAGCUCAGAUUUGAAAUCGUGCUUUGCGGCACAAGUUGUAGAUUGCAGGUUGGAGUCUGUGUGGAAGGCGGUGUCCAAGUCCCUUGGAACAGGGCGCCCAGGAGGGUGAGAGCCCCGUGGGAUGCCGGCGGAAGCAGUGAGGCCCUUCUGACGAGUCGAGUUGUUUGGGAAUGCAGCUCCAAGCGGGUGGUAAAUUCCAUCUAAGGCUAAAUACUGGCGAGAGACCGAUAGCGAACAAGUACUGUGAAGGAAAGAUGAAAAGCACUUUGAAAAGAGAGUGAAACAGCACGUGAAAUUGUUGAAAGGGAAGGGUAUUGCGCCCGACAUGGGGAUUGCGCACCGCUGCCUCUCGUGGGCGGCGCUCUGGGCUUUCCCUGGGCCAGCAUCGGUUCUUGCUGCAGGAGAAGGGGUUCUGGAACGUGGCUCUUCGGAGUGUUAUAGCCAGGGCCAGAUGCUGCGUGCGGGGACCGAGGACUGCGGCCGUGUAGGUCACGGAUGCUGGCAGAACGGCGCAACACCGCCCGUCUUGAAACACGGACC